GCCUGCAGCGGGCGGGUUGAACAGAGGCCUGAGGAGAGCCGGACAUUUGCUGGGGAAGAAAUUUGAGAGCAGCAGCAGGGAGCAGCCCAGGACCCCGCGGGUGCCGGGACCAGGAGGAUGUUUAUCUUUGCUCUGGGCCGGGCUCUCUGAACUUUCUCUGCCGCUCUCAUCAGUCGUCACUACCUUCCAAUCUUUAAAUGGCCGCUGAGCCAUUGCAAAACAGCUUCAGUGCCCACCUGGUGCUCUCAGGCUGGGUCAGGAGUUCUGUGAGGGUGACUGUGGGAUGAGGUGCUUCCAGCACUUCUUGGGAAUUGCAGGAGAUAUUUUCCUCUUAAACAAAAAUGCAGAGUAAAAUCAUAGAACCAUUAAGGCUGGGAAAGACUUCUAAGGUCACCAAGUCCAGCUGUUAACCCAGCCCCACUGAAUCAUGUCCCAAAAUGACACAUCCAGACGCCUUUUGAACAUUUCCAGGGAUGUGAUUUCACCUCUUUCCUGGGCAGCCUGUUCCAAUGCCUGACCAGCCUUUCAGUGAAGAAAUUGUCCCCAAUAUCCAACCUAAACCUCCCCUGGCACAACACAAGGCUUUUUUCUCUGGUCCUGUCAUUUCUUACUUGAGAGAAGAAACCAACCCCCACCUGGUUACAGCCUCCCUUCAGGUUGUUUGCAGAGAGCAGGAAGGUCCCCUGGGAGCCUCUUUCUCUCCAGGCUAAAGUUAGGGGUUUUUACAUGUCUGUUUCUUUUGAAUAUGUUUUUCUUUCAAGGCUUCUGUAGGAAAGGCAGUCCUUGGGACUCAUGGCAAUUUCUGGUGGAACUGAGGAAGGAAGUAGUUCCCUUCAGGAUUUACUCCCAUCUCACCCAUAUGUAGAUGUACCUGUGUAAAUCAACAGCAAGGUCUAAUUUCUCAGCAGUGGCAAACAACAUCACGAGAUGAACUGAAGCAUCAAGAGUGUUUUUAAAAAGGGAGUUGGUGGUCCCAAACAUGGCAUUCUUCAAAUACAACAAAACUUUGGGCAACUCUGGUAUCUGGCCCUGAAUGCCAAGGCUUGUUAUCCCCACUGGAAGAGCAAGGCAGGGGAAGGUCCUUGAGUAGGAAUUGGGGAGAGGCAGAGUAGGAAAGCUUACAGUCAUGGUUCAGUGUGACCUGACAGGGAAUUGAGCUCAGCACAUACGGGCACAUGCAGCUGCCAUCUGAGUGUUUGUACAGCUGUUUCCAGAGUUCCCCCAGGGAAAACAUGUUUCAAAAGACUCCGCUCUUAUUUGUCUUUCUUUUUUUCAGUCACUGCCAGCAGUCCUCUUCUAGUUGCCCAGUUCUCAGUGUCUUGGAUAGAGGAUCUGCUGGCACCCAGGAAAUCAUUAAGAAAUCCAUUAGUAAAAGGUCUUGCUCUGGACUGCUCCAUGGGCUAACUGUGGGAAGCCCUGUGAGCUCUCUGAGCUCUAAUCAACACCAAUACCAGCUCUCAUGGGGCUGCUUCCCUCCCCAGCCCCAGAGGUUCUGUCACUCUCAGUCUGAGGCUGCCUUCCUUGGCAAGCUGUGGCUGCACAAAAAGAAAAGCAUGCAGCUUGUAAAAAUAACAGAUUUAAGAAAAUUAUGGGAAGAGGCCCCAAACCAAAUAGGUUCAGAUUUCCUUGCAAACCACAAGUCCAGAGAGUCAAACUAUUCCCAAACACAGCACCAUCUCUUGUCUUGCACACAAAUGCCACAAACUGCUCCCCCAGUACCAUGUGCUGAAACACCAGUUUUAAGGAAAGUUAUAUAUGCAUGUCACCAGUAUUUAACUAUAGCUCUUUGGGAAAAAAACAAGCUCCUGGAAAUUUCUGUAUCUGGAGGAACUGAAGCUUAAGCAAAGGUUUUCCCAAAGAGGGUACAAAUCAAAGUUGGGGGGCAGUCUGGUCAAAUAGGUUGACCUAUUCAUGAUGCCAGGUUUAGGCUUUUGGAAACCUACAAGCACAUGAAAUACAAAAACGUUUACCAAUUGGGGUGUCCUCUAAUUGCAACUAAAAAAGAAAAAGAAAACCUGAGGGCUAGAUCUAGUUCAACCCAUGUCCAGGCACCAAAACCUCCAGGAGAAGGGGUGCUCCCAGAGCCUUUACUCUCUUCCCACUGACAGUCCAGCUGUGCUAGUGCACAGGGAUGAACAGUUCUGCUGGUAAUCAGUAGAAGAGUGAAGUGCAGAAAGACCAAAACACACCAGUCAUUCAAAAUAAGCUGAGAACAGGGACUGGCGACGUCAUUGUGCCUUUAUUAAAUCCUCCUGGAAAUUAAUUUUCCAUGCCCUGAAGAAAGCCACUUGGAUAUUUGUAAAUUCAAGUUGUCAUUUUAAUCAGAUGGAAGUCAGUUAGAAUUUCACGAAUAAUUUAAAUAAUAGUCAGAAUUUAAAGUCCAUGCUCCUACUCAAGGGCAUUUAAAGCCAUUGUAAAUGAAAAAUGAAAUUUAUCAAUGAUUUUUCCCUUGCGCUGAACAAAUGGCCUUCAUUGAACAACUGCUGCAUAAGAGUUGUCUUUAUCUCACUGAAGCUGAGACCAGAACCUACAGCACCAAAUGCUCUUUCUUCAGAGUGUAUCUCAGCACACACACACACACACAAAGGAGAGUUAACAGCAGGCCUUGCUGACACAGGAGUUUAUCUUAGCACAGCUAAUGCAUUACCAGCUAAUUCCUGGAAGUUGAAAGCAGCCAGGUCUCAGACCCCGCUCACACGUGUUGCUUGUGAUAAGAAGCAACACUUUUGUAUUUCUGCAUCUGUUUGUUAGCGUCACUGAACAGCAUGAAGAAGGCCUCAUCUCUUAGACGAAGCGAGUAAUCCUCUGUCAUGCGUAAGCACUUACGAGAACAAGCCAGGCUGCUCAGCACAUGGGAGAUGAGAGAUGGAGAACAGGUUCUGUAACAAGGGCCCCUGUUCAAAGCCAGUCAAGAGAGGUCUCAGCAGUAACUCACCAGAAAACCCCAAGUAUAUGGCAAUCCCAGUGUUUAUCAUGGAAUACCAUGGUGCCAGAGCUAUCCUGGAGAUGGUCCCAGCCUGUCCACAUGCCCCAGGGCAGGAUUCAUGAAAAACAAGAGGACAGAGUUCUUAAAAGAAUUGGAAGCUGCCAGGCAAGAAUCUUGAUGUCUGGAAUCGUGCACUAAGAAAAGAACAGCCUUUGUACUUACGUAGUGUAUUCAUCAUAUGACCACUGCUCUCUUGGGAUCUGUUAUGACUGGCAUCUUUGUCAGGAACAGCCUGUUGUGGUAUGGCA